GUUUUUUUAGUUCAUGUUUUGCUUUGAAUAAAUCAUCUAGCCUCUGGUUAGAUGUGGUUUUUGAUACAUCUCCAAUGUAUCUAUAAUUUUUAAUUGUUCCAUGCUGUUAUAUUAUCAAUCUUGGAUGUUUUAUAAUCAUUUUAUAGUCAUUUUAUAUCAUUUUUUGGUACUAACCUAUUGACAUAGUGCCAAGUGCCAGUUGCUGUUUUCUACAUGUUUUUUACAUCGUGGGAAAUCAAUACCAAACGGAGUCCAAAUGCAACGAAACUUUACGGAGAUUUUUAUGGACCAGAAGACACCUAAUGGGCCAAGGUUGCGCCUGGGGGGUGCUCCGAGGAGAGCACAACCCACCAGGGCGCGCCAGGAGGCCCAGGCGCGCCCUGGUGGGUUGUGCCCACCUCGGUGGCCUCCCGCACCACCUCUUUGCUCUGUAAAUACCCCAAUAUUCCAGAAACCCUAGGGGAGUUGAUGAAAAUUAAUUCCAGCCGCCGCAAGUUCCAGAACCACCAGAUCCAAUCUAGACGCCAUCACGGAGGGGUUCAUCAUGUCCAUUGGUGCCUCUCCGAUGAUGCGUGAUUAGUCUUUUGUAGACCUACGGGUCCGUAGUUAGUAGCUAGAUGGCUUCCUCUCUCUCGUUUUAUUAUCAAUACAAUGGUCUCUUGGAGAUCCAUAUGAUGUAACUCUUUUUGUGGUGUGUUUGUUGGGAUCCGAUGAACUUUGAGUUUAUGAUCAGAUCUAUCUCUUUAUCCAUGAAAGUUAUUUGAGUCUUCUUUGAUCUCUUAUAUGCAUGAUUAAUUAUAGCCUCGUAUUUCUUCUCCGAUAUUUGGGUUUUGGUUGGCCAACUUGAUCUAUUUAUCUUGCAAUGGGAAGAGGUGCUUUGUAGUGGGUUCGAUCUUAUGGUGCUUGAUCCCAGUGACAGAAGGGGAACCGACACGUAUGUAUCGUUGCUACUAAGGAUAAAACGAUGGGAUCUAUCUCUACAAAGAUAGAUCUUGUCUACAUCAUGUCAUUGUUCUUAUUGCAUUACUCCAUUUCUCCAUGAACUUAAUACACUAGAUGCAUGCUGGAUAGCGGUCGAUGUGUGGAGUAAUAGUAGUAGAUGCAGGCAGGAGUCAGUCUACUAAUCUUGGACGUGAUGCCUAUAUAUUGAUCAUUGCCUGGAUAUCAUCAUGAUUAUUUGAAGUUCUAUCAAUUUCCCAACAGUAAUUUGUUCACCCACCGUUUGCUAUUUUUCUCGAGAGAAGCCACUAGUGAAACCUACGGCCCACGGGUCUCUUUCUCAUAUUAUUUGCCUUCGCGAUCUACUUUUCCUUUGCUUUUAUUUUCAGAUCUAUUAAACCAAAGAUACAAAAGUACCUUGCUGUGUUCUAUUCUUAUUUAUUUUAUUUGGCGUUCGAUCUAUCAAUCUACUACAAUUUUAUCUCACGUCCGUUUGCCUAUCUUGAGGCGCCGUUAUGUUGGGGAACGUAGCAAUAAUUGAAAAUUUUCCUACGUGUCACCAAGAUCAAUCUAGGAGAUGCUAGCAACGAGAGAGAGGGAGAGCAUCUUCAUACCCUUGAAGAUCACUAUGCGGAAGCGUUGCAAGAACGCGGUCGGUGGAGUCGUACACGAAGCGAUUCAGAUCGCGGCCGAAUCCGAUCUAAGCACCGAACAACAGUGCCUCCACGUUCAACACACAUGCAGCCCGAUGACGUCUCCCGUGCCUUGAUCCAGCAAGGAGAGAGGGAGAGGUUGGGGAAGACUCCGUCCAGCAGCAGCACAACGGCAUGGUGGUGAUGGAGGAGCGUGGCACUCCAGCAGGGCUUCGCCAAGCACUGCGAGAGACGAGGAGGGAGAGGGGUAGGGCUGCGCCAAGAGAGAGGGAGACCCGUGUCUUCUGCAGCCCCAAAACCCCCACUAUUUAUAGGAGGAGGGGAGGAGGGUGCGCCCCCUCUAGGGUUCCCACCGCUAGGGGGGCGGCAGCCCUAGAUUGGAUGGAGGGGGCGACCAAGAGGGGGAGAGAGGGGGGCGCACCCUAGGUGGGCCUUAGGCCCAUCUAAGCCUAGGGUUUUCCCCUUUCCCCUUUUCCAUGCGCCUUGGGCCUCUUGUGGGAGGCGCACCAGCCCACCUAGGGGCUGGUCCCUUCCCACACUUGGCCCACGCAGGCCUCCGGGGUUGGUGGCCCCUCCCGGUGGACCCCCGGAACCCUCCGGUGGUCCCGGUACAUUACCGGUGAUGCCCGAAACUCUUCCGGUGGCCAAAACCUCACUUCCUAUAUAUUAUUCUUUACCUCUGGACCAUUCUGGAACUCCUCGUGACGUCCGGGAUCUCAUACGAGACUCCGAACAACAUUCGGUAACCACAUAUAUCUAUUCCCUAUAACCCUAGCGUCAUCGAACCUUAAGUGUGUAGACCCUACGGGUUCGGGAACCAUGCAGACAUGACCGAAACGUUCUCCGGCCAAUAACCAACAGCGGGAUCUGGAUACCCAUGUUGGCUCCCACAUGUUCCACGAUGAUCUCAUCGUAUGAACCACGAUGUCAGGGAUUCAAUCAAUCCCGUAUACAAUUCCCUUUGUCAAUCGGUAUGUUACUUGCCCGAGAUUCGAUCGUCGGUAUCCCAAUACCUCGUUCAAUCUCGUUACCGGCAAGUCACUUUACUCGUUCCGUAAUGCAUGAUCCCGUGACUAACUACUUAGUCACAUUGAGCUCAUUAUGAUGAUGCAUUACCGAGUGGGCCCAGAGAUACCUCUCCGUCAUACGGAGUGACAAAUCCCAGUCUCGAUUCAUACCAACCCAACAGACACUUUCGGAGAUACCUGUAGUGGACCUUUAUAGCCACCCUGUUAUGUUGUGACGUUUGGUACACCCAAAGCAUUCCUACGGUAUCCGGGAGUUGCACAAUCUCAUGGUCUAAGGAAAUGAUACUUGACAUUAGAAAAGCUCUUAGCAAAUGAACUACACGAUCUUGUGUUAUGCUUAGGAUUGGGUCUUGUCCAUCACAUAAUUCUCCUAAUGAUGUGAUCCCGUUAGCAAUGACAUCCAAUGUCCAUGGUCAGGAAACCAUAACCAUCUAUUGAUCAAUGAGCUAGUCAACUAGAGGCUUACUAGGGACAUGUUGUGGUCUAUGUAUUCACACAUGUAUUACGGUUUCCAGUUAAUACAAUUAUAGCAUGAACAAUAGACAAUUAUCAUGAACAAGGAAAUACAAUAAUAACCAUUUUAUUAUUGCCUCUAGGGCAUAUUUCCAACAGUCUCCCACUUGCACUAGAGUCAAUAAUGUAGUUCACAUCACUAUGUGAUUGUAAUGAAUCCAACACCCAUGGGGUUCGUUCAUAUCUCGCUUGUGAGAGAGGUUAUUAGUCAACGGGUCUGAACCUUUCAGAUCCGUGUGUGCUUUACAAAUCUCUAUGUCAUCUUGUAGAUGCAGCUACCACGCGCUACUUGGAGCUAUUCCAAAUCACUGCUCUAGUAUACGAAUCCGGUUUACUACUCAGAGUCAUCCGGAUUAGUGUCAAAGUUUGCGUCGACGUAACCCUUUAUGACGAACUCCUUUUCCACCUCCAUAAUCGAGAAAAUUCCUUAGUCCACUAGUUACUAAGGAUAAGUUCGAUCGCUGUCAUGUGAUCCAUUCCUGGAUCACUCUUGUACCCCUUGACUGACUCAUGGCAAGGCACACUUCAGGUGCGGUACACAGCAUAGCAUACUGUAGAGCCUACGUCUAAAGCAUAGGGGACGACCUUUGUCCUUUCUCUCUCUUCUGCCGUUGUCAGGUCUUGAGUCUUACUCAAUACUCACACCUUGUAACACAACCAAGAACUCCUUCUUUGCUGAUCUAUUUUGAACUCCUUCAAAAUCUUGUCAUGGUAUGUAUUCAUUUGAAAGUACUAUUAAGCAUUUUUGAUCUAUCCUUAUAGAUCUUGAUGCUCAAUGUUCAAGUAGCUUAAUCCAAGUUUUCCAUUGAAAAACACUUUUCAAACAACCCUAUAUGCUUUCCAGAAAUUCUACAUCAUUUCCGAUCAACAAUAUGUCAACAAUAUUACCAUCCUCAUUGGGAAUGAUAGGCGCUUCCACCCCCAGCCCGGCGAUCGCCACCACCUCCGGUGAUCUCCUCCCCUAGCCACCAAAUUUCCUUUCCUCGCCAUUAGAUCUCUCCGGCGCUCUGAGAUCUACGUCCUAAUACCCAUCUUCAUGGGUUCUAUUGAUGGAUCCACCCUUGGCUUGGACUUCUCCAAGGGUCUGGUUUUUGCGGAUAAGGUGUUUCAAUCUACGGGCUUUCCGGUGCACCCCAUGGAUGACACGGGCUUCUUCACCAUGGUAAUUUCUUUUGGCCGGCAUGAUUUUCGUUUGAAUGAGGAUUUAGUGGCAGCGGCGCUUGAGGCGGCCAUCGGAGGUUCUGCCAUUGAGUUUAUGGUUUUUCCGAUCAAGGAUAAGGUUUUUGGUUUUCAAGUUUCUUGCAAGGCUGUGGCUAUGAUCAUUCUCAAGCUUCGUUCAUUCUCUUGUGAUCAUUUUAAAUGUUUCUUUCAUCUUUGGGGUAAUGGUGGCCCAAAUUGGGGCCGUGAGUUCAAACUUUGGAAGUUGGAAUGUGAUGCUGAGUGGAUCAUUGUUAGUCCUUCCAAACGUCGAGCUGCCCUUGGCAUGUUGGCUAUGCACUCCAAACCCCUAAAGUCUUCGGUAAGAUCAUCUCAUGCCCCUGCCAAGAAGCUUUCAUUUUCAAAGUUCCAGAAUUAUCCUGCUUGUCGUGGUUAUCAUUAUCCGGCCACACAAAAUUGCAUUCAAAUUGUUGAAGAUGCGGGGUACACGCUUUCUGUGCAUGAGAGGGUGGUCAUCCAUCCCCCGCCGCCGGCUGAACUCCGGUGGACGUCGACCACCCCCUCCAUAUCUUUUGGCACGGUUAGGGAUCUUCUCCCAGCCGCGGAUUGGACGCCGUCUAUCUCGGGCGAAAAUACUGGCUCUUUGAAUGUGGACGUGCCAUCCCAUAUUGGGCCGUCAUCUGCAUGUGCCACGGUCCAAGUUGAGCCGGUGUUAUCUUCUGGGCCUUCUAUUAUUCCUUCCUCUCAGCAAGCAGAAGAAGAUUUUGAUAACUUGGUAUCGGGUAUGGUGGACGAAAUUUUAACGUGUCAGAAAUGCUUGCAAAAGGGCCAUUUUGCUGCGGCGUGCACGUCCAAGCUGCGUUGUACCUCUUGUCUGCGGGUGGGGCAUGCUAAAAACGAUUGCAACAAGUUUGCACGGAUCUUGGGUUUGGUUUGGCAACCGAAACCCGGUAACGUUGCAACUUCCGAGGAUCGCUCAGCUCCUACCGAGAAUAUCUCUCUGACACAGCUUUUACCAAACUUGGACUCCUCUUGCACUUCCGCAUUAAUUCCUUCGCCCGGUUCCAUCAGUCCUGGUCCCAAAACACCUUCGACUGCGCCGCCUGGGACCCCUCCUCCGCCGGAGUCCUCGCCGUCUGCUUCCAGCCCGGGUUGUGCCUCUCCGAUGGCCAACUUCCCCCUCGACCCCUUGCUGUAUGUGCCGGCAGGCCAUCACAUUGUGGACGGCGGUGAUGCUCGUUUGCCUCGGACCUUUGUGACGCCACAUAUCCCAAUUGUGUGCCGCCAUGAGGAGUUCAUGUUAGCUGAGGUAAUGCCCAUCCCUCCUCCCGAUCAGAUUGGUGUUGCUAGAGAGGAAGUUGUUCAAUGGCUGCAAGCUCAUGGGGUUUUGGUGAGGUCUGCUCAACCUUGGAUUAGAUCGGUGGGUCUUUUUGAGCUUCGGGAUGCUGCAGUCAGAUUCUCGCUCCUUCAGAUGCCACCCCAACCUCUUGGCAAUGAUCGUUUUGUUCGUUUUAUGAAGCACGAUGAGGGCGAAUCUUUUAGAGGUGUUCAGGGUUUCCGUCAGGGACUGCUUAUGUUUUUGGGGAUUCCGCUUGAUCUUCGCAAUGAAGAAGGUAUUCGGGCAGCGGUUAACACCUUUGGGAAAUUUCAUCAUUGGAUUAGUCAGGAUCCAUACCUUGUGCGUACUUUAGUCUUUGCGUCCUUUCCAGAAGAUAUUAUGGUGCCCAGAGAUGUGGCGUUCAUGGAUUAUGCAGCCUGGGGUGGUGCCAGGGUGUCUUGGACGGCGCCUCUGUAUAUUCUUGGGGCCAAUUUUGCUGAGCAGAUGCCCCAAGAUGAAGACUAGAUGCCCAUCAAUGGCAAUCCUCAUCCCCUGCCUGGUGUGCCCUUCCCGGAGAUGCCACCUUUUAUUCUGCCUCCAUUCCCAGCUCUGGGGUGGAACGAUGUGCCGCCACCUCCGCCUGAACCUGCACAUAAUGAGGUGCAUGAGGACAAUUGGGGAAAUUGGGAUGAGCCUGCUGCGGAACCUGCUGUUGAGGAUCAAGAAUCCAUGGUGUUGAAUGCCUCUGCUCAACCAAGUUCGGCUCAACCAAGCUCUGAUGUGCAGCAACAGGUGUCCCCUGCACCUAUCAUUCUUAUUGAUGGGGCUCAACCUGUGAACCAAAUUGAUCUGAUGGAGAUUGCACCGGACCUGGAGGAUGCUAGUAACAGGGCAAUUGUGGUCUAUCAACCUCCUGUCAUUGACGUUCAAGCUUUGGAUCGACCUGCGAUUAAGGUCUCCUUUGGUCCCCCUCUGCCCCCUAAAAUGAUCUGGAGGCGAUCGUUUGAAAACCUGCUGAAUGCACCAGUUGUGUUUGAGGUGCCAAAACCACUACUGCCUAAACCUCUGUCACCGGUCACUUUGACAAAGAGAAACUGGGAUUUUGCUUUUCAGCAAGAUGAUCUUCCUCUAUUGACGUGGAAGGAGCCGGAACCUGCUCGACCUGUGGCUAGAGCUUUAUUUGUGGAUGAUGCUGAGAGGGCUACGCCUGAUGUUGUCCCUUCUCCCCCUACGCGUGUACAAACGAGGAGGCCUCGCAAAACUCUGGCGCCAACGCCUCUCGUUGAAACCUCUGUUCGAAGAUGUACCAGAAAUUCGGCCCAGCGUGAUGGGUUUAAGCCCACUUUCCAUGAGCUGGUUCUGCAGCCCAAGAAGAAGAAGCCCAAGGCCAAGCCCCUUUCUGCGGAGAUGCUUGAUGACCCUGCACAUGGAGAUGUUCCUCCACCUACUCCCAUAAGUCAUCUGCAAGCUAUUGGCAAGGAGCUGGAGAUUGAUGCAACACUGCUCACUGAGGAUGCACUUAUGGUGGACCCUGCUGCUGCCACAAAUCAUGCCUUCAAUGAAUAGUGUGCUUUUCAUAUGCUGGGUUUUGCAAGCCCAUAAAUUUGCUUUCUGCGUUUAGUUUUGAUUUUCUGAUCCUUGGCUAUGUAAUAAUGUUGGUUCAGACCUUUAUGGGCUUUUUGGGCAUAUGACAUUGUGUGUCAUGUGGUUUGGGGCUUUGUUUAUGAUCUUUAUUUAUGAAUACUCAAUGUAGAAGCUGGAAUGUCCUGUGCUGGAAUGUCAGGGGUUUAAACUCUGAGACUAGGCAAAGAGCUGUUAGACAAAAGAUAGAUGAAAGUCACUGUGCUAUCGCUUGUCUGCAAGAAACUAAAUGUGCUUCAUUCGAUUCCAGAACAAUUAAAAGCUUUUGCCCCAAGAGAUUUGACAGCUUUGCUUUCUCUCCUUCUUUGGGGGCCUCUGGUGGAAUUCUAGUUGUUUGGAACUCAUCUAUUUUUUAUGGGACUUUAUUGCAAGUCCAACAAUUUGCAGUGGUGAUUGAGUUUGUUUCUAGGCAAAACAAUGAGAGAUGGACACUUGUGGUUGUUUAUGGUCCUUGUCAGGGGGAACCUAGGGGUAAUUUUGUAACCUAGAUGUAUCACCUGAAUAUUCCUAUGGAUGAAAAUUGGCUGCUACUGGGGGAUUUUAAUUUCUUGCGUUCUUUGGAUAACGGAAACCUACCUGGUGGUGAUUUGAAUGACAUGUUCAUCUUUAAUGAGAUUAUUGGGCACCUAGAUCUUUUGGAAUUGCCCAUCAAAGGCAGAUCUUACACUUGGUCCAAUAUGCAGGAUACUCCACUGCUUGAGCAGCUAGACUGGUUCUUCACUUCUAUUGAUUGGAUAUCUGACUAUCCCAUGACUGAGGUGCUACCUCUUGCUAGAACUGCAUCUGACCAUGUGCCUUCUGUGGUUACAAUCAAAACUUCUAUUCCCAAGUCUAAUCUUUUUAGGUUUGAGAAUUAUUGGCUGGAGCUGGAGGGUUUUAUGGAUUGUGUUGAUUCUUCAUGGCAGAAACAAUCCAGAAAGGGGCAUAUUACUACUAGGAUAGCUGACAAAUUUAAGUCCCUGAGAAUGUGUCUCAAGAGAUGGCAGAAGAACAUUUCCAAACUGAAAACUCUAGUAUGUAAAUGCAAUAAUGGUGUUCUGCUUUUGGAUGAGCUUGAGGAAUAUAGACCACUUUACAGACAUGAAUCCAAUUUCAGGAAAGUGGUUAAAAACCAUGUAGAGAAAUUGCUCCACCUUCAAUGUCUUUAUUGGAAGAAAAGAUGUACUAUCAGAUACAUAAAAGUGGGUGGUGAGAACACCAAGUUCUUUCAUGUAUGGCUACUGAGAUGCAUAGAAGGAAUUCUAUUGCUAGCUUAAAAUUGCCUGAUGGUACUUUGGUGACUGGUCACUCACAAAUGGAGGGUAUUAUAUGGAAUUGUUUUAAAAACAGAAUGGGUUCUUCCAGGGGAAUUAACAUGGGUUUUGAACUUUCUUCCCUCAUUGAACCAGUUGAGGGUUUAGAUAUUCUCACUAAGCCUUUUCAGCAGGAGGAAAUGGACAAGAUUGUCAAGCAUAUGCCAGUUGAUAAAGCUCCAGGUCCAGAUGGUUUUAAUGGUCUCUUCUUCAAAAGGUGCUGGCACAUAAUUUCUCAGGAUUUUUAUGAACUGGCCCAAGCUUUCUUUGAUGGUACUGCUCAUCUGGAAAAUAUCAAUGACUCAUAUAUAACUCUGGUGCCUAAGAAGCCCUCACCUGAAGAGGUGGGUGACUUCAGACCUAUCUCUUUAACAGGAAUGGGUCUUAAGUUCCUAUCUAAGAUGGCAGCCAAUAGGUUUCAGGAGGUGAUUAUGCAGUGUGUUCACAAGAACCAGUAUGGUUUCAUAAAAAGCAGAACAAUUCAGGAUUGUAUUGGGUGGACUUUUGAGUAUUUACACUAGUGCCACCAGUCCAAGAGACCAACUGUGAUUCUAAAGUUGGAUUUUGAGAAGGCUUUUGAUUCCCUUGAGCAUGAGGCAAUAGUGCAAAUAUUGAGAUAUAAGGGCUUUAAUGAGAAGUGGAUUCUUUGGAUGAAGCAACUUUUGUCCACAGGUACCUCAUCUGUUCUGCUUAAUGGAGUUCCUGGUAGGAAGUUCAGAUGUAAAAAGGGUGUCAGACAGGGUGAUCCAGUCUCUCCCCUCCUUUUUGUCCUAGCUGCUGAUCUCCUGCAGACUAUAAUCAAUGACAUGUUCAGAAGGGGCAUUCUUCAUCUACCUAUACCUUGUCAUGACCAGGAUUACCCUGUGAUUCAGUAUGCUGAUGACACUUUAAUUAUCCUGCCUGCUGACAAGGACCAACUUAUAGCUCUGAAGGACAUGCUCAAGGUCUUCUCUGUGUCCACUGGUCUUGAUGUGAACUACCACAAAUCCUUUAUUAUUCCCAUCAAUGUGGACACUGCUGUCAUGACUGAAUUAGCUGCUGCAUUUGGAUGCCAGAUUGGGAAAAUGCCAUUUACCUACCUUGGGUUACCAGUGGGAACUACAAGGCCUAAAAUGGUGGAUUUUAUGCCAUUGGUGGACUGCAUGGAGAGGAGAAUGACAGCUAGCUCCUCUUUUUUAAAUCAGGGGGAAAGACUGCAGUUUCUAAACUCUGCCUUGUCUUAUAUGCCCAUUUUUUUCCUUUGCAGUUUGGCUGUUCCUGCUAGAAUUCUAAAGCAAUUGGAGAGAAUCCAGAGACAAUGCCUCUGGAGGAAGAAUAGGGGUGAGCUUGCCCCUUCACUUGCUGCUUGGGACCUUAUUUGCAGGCCAAAAAACAAGGGAGGCCUUGGUAUUCUUAAUCUUGGUGUUCAGAAUGUUGCACUUCUUCUCAAACAUGCAAAUAACUUUCUUAAUAAAAAGGAUCUCCCAUGGGUGUCUUUAAUUUGGGAUUCCUACUAUCAUGGCAGAGUACCCCAAGGAACUUCUGAUUGUGGCUCUUUCUGGUGGAAGGAUAUAUGCAAGGUCAUGCAAAACUUUAGGGAGUGUGCUUGAGUUCAAAUUAAUGAAGGGGACACUGCCCUCAUGUGGUCAGACAACUGGCAGCUUGAUGAUCAGGUGUCUAGCCUUUAAUUCAGAUUUCCCAGGCUCUUUUCCUAUGUUAAGGACCCCUGGAUCACUGCUAAAGAGUUCUUGGACUCUCAGGACAUGUUCCAGCACUUCCACCUUCCUUUGUCCAGCCAGGCUUUUGAUGAACUGACCACUCUCCAGUCUCUGUUGGGCGGCCACAAUAGAGCACCUGGGUCCAAGGAUAUUUGGUUUUGGAAUGGCACCGCCAAGGGAUACUCACCAAAGUUGUUUUACUCACAUACUUUUGCAUCAGAAUCCUUCAACCCUUUGACAGCUUGGAUCUGGAUGUCCUCCUGUACAAUGAAAAUCAAAGUAUUCGCUUGGAUGCUUAUUAUUGACAGGUUGAACACCAAGGACAUGGUGGAAAGGAGGCAUUGGCAUUUGGAGGAUGGAGUAAAUUGUGCCCUUUGUCCUUUGCUGACUAGGGAAACAAGAGAUCAUCUGUUCUUUAAUUGCAAUUUUAGUGUCAGAGUUUGGAACUAUCUGCAAAUUGAUUGGUCAUCUGGUGACUCUAUGGCUGAUUUGGUUAUUAAUGCUAGCAGGAGUUUUAGGAAGCCCUUCUUCACUCAAGUGGUGUUUAUUGCUUGCUGGAAUAUCUAGAUUCUCAGGAAUGCUAAGGUCUUCAGGCAUGAGAGAGCUGGAUUCAAUAAAUGGAGAAGUGCAUUCAUCCAUGAUAUUAGCUUAAUGCAAUAUAGAGUGAAAGCUGCCUAUAAGGAUGAUCUCCUUAGAUGGAUCUCAUUUCUACCACCUUGAGGCCAAUAUUCUGUAAUUUUAAUUUUAACUUGUUUCUUCUCCUUCUUCCCUUAGUUUAGUUUGAUUACCUCUUGUAAUUCCCCACAAUACUUGUACUUGCUCUCUCUUUAUCAAUAAAGUUUUGAUAUGCUGUGGGGGUUUCCCCUACAGUUCCCAGUCAAAAAAAAACAAUAUGUCAACAACAUAUACUCAUCAGAAAUUCUAUAUUGCUCCCACUCACUUCUUUGGACAUACAAGUUUCUCAUAAACUUUGUAUAAACCCAAAAUCUUUGAUCAUCUCAUCAAAGCGCAUAUUCCAACUCCGAGAUGCUUACUCCAGUCCUUAGAAGGAUCGCUGGAGCUUUGCAUACUUGUUAGCAUCUUUCAGGAUUGACAAAACCUUCUGGUUGUAUCACAUACAACCUUUCCUCAAGAAAAUCAUCGAGGAAACAUUGUUUUGACAUCCUAUCUGCAAGAUUUCAUAAAUAAUGCAGUAACUGCUAAUAUAAUUCCAACAGACUCUUAGCAUCGCUACGAGUGAGAAAGUCUCAUCGUAGUCAACUCCUUGAACUUGUCAGCAAACAUCUUAACAACAAGUCAAGCUUUCUUAAUGGUGAUACUUACCAUCAUUGUCCGUUUUCCCUUUAAAAUCCAUCUGUACCCAACAGCCAUACGACCAUCAAGUAGUUCUUCCAAAGUCUAUACUUUGUUUUUUACAUGGAUCCUCUCUCGGAUUUUAUGGCCUCGAGCCAUUCGUCGGAAUCUGGGCCCACCAUCGCUUCUCCAUAGCUCGUAGGUUCAUUGUUGUCUAGAAACAUGACUUCCAAGACAGGAUUACCGUACCACUAUGAAGUAGUACGCAUCCUUGUCGACCUACGAGGUUUGGUAGUGACUUGAUCUGAAGUUUCAUGAUCACUAUCAUCAGCUUCUACUUCAAUUGGUGUAGGUGCCAUAGGAACAACUUCCUGUGCCCUGCUACACACUAGUUGAAGUGACGGUUCAAUAACCUCAUCAAGUCUCCAUCAUCCUCCCACUCAAUUCUUUCGAGAGAAACUUUUCCUCGAGAAAGGACCCGAUUCUAGGAACAAUCCCUUUUGCUUCCGGAUCUGAGACAGGAGGUAUACCCAACUGUUUUUGGGUGUCCUAUGAAGAUGUGUUUAUCCGCUUUGGGUUCGAGCUUAUCAGCCUGAAACUUUUCACAUAAGCAUCGCAGCCCCAAACUCUUAAGAAACGACAGCUUAGGUUUCUCUAAACCAUAGUUCAUAUGGUGUCGUCUCAACGGAAUUGCGUGGUGCCCUAUUUAAAGUGAAUGCGGUUGUCUCUAAUGCCUAAACCAUAGACGAUAGUGGUAAUUCGAUAAGAGACAUCAUGGUAUGCACUAUAUCCAAUAGGGUGCAGUUAUGAUGUUCGGACACACCAUCACACUAUGGUGUUCCAGGCGGUAUUAGUCAUGAAACAAUUUCCACAAUGUCUUAAUUGUGUGCCAAACUCGUAACUCACAUAUUCAUCUCUAUGAUCAUAUCAUAGACAUUUUAUCCUCUUGUCACGACGAUCUUCAACUUCACUCUGAAAUUACUUGAACCUUUCAAUAAUUCAGACUUGUGUUUCAUCAAGUAAAUACACUCAGCAUCUACUCAAACCAUCUGUGAAGUAAGAACAUAACGAUAUCCACUGCGUGCCUCAGCACUCAUUGGACUGCAUACAUCAAAAUGUAUUACUUCCAAUAAGUUGCUCUCUUGUUCCAUCUUACUGAAAACGAGGCCUUACAGUCAUCUUGCCCAUGUGGUAUGAUUUGCAUGUCUCAAGUGAUUCAAAAUCAAGUGAGUCCAAACGAUCCAUCUGCAUGGAGUUUCUUCAUGCAUAUAUACCAAUAGACAUGGUUUGCAUGUCUCAAUCUUUUCAAAAACGAGUGAGUCCAAAGAUCCAUCUACAUGGAGCUUCUUCACGCGUUUUAUCCCAAUAUGACUCAAAUAGCAGUGCCACAAGUAUGUGGUACUAUCAUUACUAUCUUAUAUCUUUUGGCAUGAACAUGUGUAUCACUAUGAUCGAGAUUCAAUAAACCAUUCAUUUUAGGUGCAAGACCAUUGAAGGUAUUAUUCAAAUAAAAAGAGUAACCAUUAUUCUCCUUAAAUGAAUAACCGUAUUGCGAUAAACAUAAUCCAAUCAUGUCUAUGCUCAACGCAAAAACCAAAUAACAAUUAUUUAGGUUUAACACCAAUCUCGAUGGUAGAGGGAGCAUGCGAUGCUUGAUCACAUCAACCUUGGAAACACUUCCAACACAUAUCGUCAUCUCAUCUUUAGCUAGUCUCCGUUCAUUCCGCAGCUUUUAUUUCGAGUUACUAACACUUAGCAACCGAACCGGUAUCUAAUACCCUGGUGCUACUAAGAGUACUAGUAAAGUACACAUUAAUAUAAUGUAUAUCCAAUAUACUUCUGUCGACCUUGCCAGCCUUCUCAUCUACGAAGUAUCUAGGGUAGUUCUGCUUCAGUGACCGUUCCCCUCAUUUCAGAAGCACUUAGUCUCGGGUUUGGGUUCUACCUUGGGUUUCUUCACUAGAGCAGCAACUGAUUUGCUGUUUCAUGAAGUAUCCCUUCUUGCCCUUUCCCUUCUUGAAACUAGUGGUUUUACUAACCAUCAACAAUUGAUGCUCCUACUUGAUUUCUACUUUCACGGUGUCAAACAUCGCGAAUAGCUCAAGGAUCAUCAUAUCUAUCCCUGAUAUGUUAUAGUUCAUCACGAAGCUCUAGUAGCUUGGUGGCAGUGACUUUGGAGAACCAUCACUAUCUCAUCCGGAAGACAACUCCCACUCGAUUCAAGCGAUUGUAGUACUCACACAAUCCGAGCACAUGCUCAACGAUUGAGCUUUUCUCCCUUAGUUUGCAGGCUUAAGAAACUUGUCAGGGCUCUCACACCUCUUGACGUGGGCACGAGCUUAAAAUCCCAAUUUCAGCUCUUGGAACAUCUCAUAUGUCCCGCGACGUUUCAAAAUGUCUUCGGUGCCUCAAUUCUAAACCGUUUAACAUUACGCACUGAACUAUCAUGUAGUCAUCAAAACGUGUAUGUCAGAUGUUCGCAAUAUCCACAAACGACGCUCGAGGUUCAGCACACCGAGCGGUGCAUUAAGGACAUAAGCCUUCUGUGCAGCAAUGAGGACAAUCCUCAGUUUACGGACCCAGUCCGCAUAAUUUCUACUAUCAACUUUCAACUAAAUUUUCUCUAGGAACAUAUCUUAGUAGAACUAAAGCGUAAGCUACGACAUAAUUUGCAAAGACCUUUUGACUAUGUUCAUGAUAAUUAAGUUCAUCUAAUCAAAUUAUUUAAUGAACUCCCACUCAGAUAGACAUCCCUCUAGUCAUCUAAGUGAUACAUGAUCCGAGUCAACUAGGCCGUGUCCGAUCAUCACGUGGGACGGACUAGUCAUCAUCGGUGAACAUCUUUAUGUUGAUCGUAUCUUCUAUACGACUCAUGUUCGACCUUUCGGUCUCUUGUGUUCCGAGGCCAUGUCUGUACAUGCUAGGCUCAUCAAGUCAACCUAAGUGUUUCGCAUGUGUAAAUCUGGCUUACACCCGUUGUAUGCAAACGUUAGAAUCUAUCACACCCGAUCAUCACGUGGUGCUUCGAAACAACGAUCCUUCGCAACGGUGCACAGUUAGGGGGAACACAUUCUUGAAAUUUUAGAGAGGGGUUAUCUUAUUUAUGCUACCGUCGUUCUAAGCAAAUAAGAUGUAAACAUGACAAACAUCACAUGCAAAUCAUAAAGUGACAUGAUAUGGCCAAUAUCAUCUUGCGCCUUUUGAUCUCCAUCUUCGAGGCGCGGCAUGAUCACCUUCGUCACCGGCAUGACACCAUGAUCUCCAUCAUCAUGAUAUCCAUCAUCGUGUCUUCAUGAAGUUGUCUCGCCAACUAUUACUUCUACUACUAUGGCUAACGGUUAGCAAUAAAGUAAAGUAAUUACAUGGCGUUUUUCAUUGACACGCAGGUCAUACAAUAAAUUAAGACAACUCCUAUGGCUCCUGUCGGUUGUCAUACUCAUCGACAUGCAAGUCGUGAUUCCUAUUACAAGAACAUGAUCAAUCUCAUACAUCACAUAUAUAUAAUUCAUCACAUCCUUUUGGCCAUAUCACAUCACAUAGCAUACCCUGCAAAAACAAGUUAGACGUCCUCUAAUUGUUGUUGCAUGUUUUACGUGGCUGCUAUGGGUUUCUAGCAAGAAUGUUUCUUACCUAUGCAAAAGCCACAACGGUGAUAUGUCAAUUGCUAUUUACCCUUCAUAAUGACCCUCUUCAUCGAAUCUGAUCCAACUAAAGUGGGAGAGACAGACACCCGCUAGCCACCUUAUGCAUCAAGUGCAUGUCAGUCGGUGGAACCUGUCUCACGUAAGAGUACGUGUAAGGUCGGUCCGGGCCGCUUCAUCCCACAAUGCCGCCGAAUCAAGAUAAGACUAGUAACGGUAAGCAAAUUGAACAAAUCAUCGCCCACAACUACUUUGUGUUCUACUCGUGCAUAGAAUCUACGCAUAGACCUAGCUCUGAUACCACCGUUGGGGAACGUAGCAAUAAUUCAAAAUUUUCCUACGUGUCACCAAGAUCAAUCUAGGAGAUGCUAGCAACGAGAGAGAGGGAGUGCAUCUUCAUACCCUUGAAGAUCGCUAUGCGGAAGCGUUGCAAGAAUGCGGUCGAUGGAGUCGUACACAAAGCGAUUCAGAUCGCGGCCGAAUCCGAUCUAAGCACCGAACAACGGUGCCUCCGCGUUAAACACACAUGCAGCCCGGUGAUGUCUCCCGUGCCUUGAUCCAGCAAGGAGAGAGGGAGAGUUUGGGGAAGACUCCAUCCAGCAGCAGCACAACGGCAUGGUGGUGAUGGAGGAGCGUGGCACUCCAGCAGGGCUUCACCAAGCACUGUGAGAGACGAGGAGGGAGAGGGGUAGGGCUGCGCCAAGAGAGAGGGAGACUCGUGUCUUCUGCAGCCCCAAAACCCCCACUAUUUAUAGGAGGAGGGGAGGAGGGUGCGCCCCCUCUAGGGUUCCCACCCCUAGGGGCGGCAGCCCUAGAUUGGAUGGAGGGGGGCGGCCAAGAGGGGGAGAGAGGGGGGCGCACCCUAGGUGGGCCUUAGGCCCAUCUGAGCCUAGGGUUUUCCCCUUUCCCCUUUUCCAUGCGCCUUGGGCCUCUUGUGGGAGGCGCACCAGCCCACCUAGGGGCUGGUCCCUUCCCACACUUGGCCCACGCAGGCCUCCGGGGUUGGUGGCCCCUCCCGGUGGACCCCCGGAACCCUCCGGUGGUCCCGGUACAUUACCUGUGACGCCCGAAACUCUUCCGGUGGCCAAAACCUCACUUCCUAUAUAUUAUUCUUUACCUCCGGACCAUUCCGGAACUCCUCGUGAUGUCCGAGAUCUCAUCCGGGACUCCGAACAACAUUCAGUAACCACGUAGAUCUAUUCCCUAUAACCCUAGCGUCAUCGAACCUUAAGUGUGUAGACCCUACGGGUUCGGGAACCAUGCAAACCUGACCGAGACGUUCUCCGGCCAAUAACCAACAGCGGGAUCUGGAUACCCAUGUUGGCUCCCACAUGUUCCACGAUGAUCUCAUCGGAUGAACCACGAUGUCAGGGAUUCAAUCAAUCCCGUAUACAAUUCCCUUUGUCAAUCGGUAUGUUACUUGCCCGAGAUUCGAUCGUCGGUAUCCCAAUACCUCGUUCAAUCUCGUUACCGGCAAGUCACUUUACUCGUUUCGUAAUGCAUGAUCCCGUGACUAACUACUUAGUCACAUUGAGCUCAUUAUGAUGAUGCAUUACCGAGUGGGCCCAGAGAUACCUCUCCGUCAUACGGAGUGACAAAUCCCAGUCUCGAUUCAUACCAACCCAACAGACACUUUCGGAGAUACGUGUAGUGUACCUUUAUAGCCACCCAGUUACGUUGUGACGUUUGGUACACCCAAAGCAUUCCUACGGUAUCCGGGAGUUGCACAAUCUCAUGGUCUAAGGAAAUGGUACUUGACAUUAGAAAAGCUCUUAGCAAAUGAACUACACGAUCUUGUGCUAUGCUUAGGAUUGGGUCUUGUCCAUCACAUCAUUCUCCUAAUGAUGUGAUCCCGUUAUCAAUGACAUCCAAUGUCCAUGGUCAGGAAACCAUAACCAUCUAUUGAUCAACGAGCUAGUCAACUAGAGGCUUACUAGGGACAUGUUGUGGUCUAUGUAUUCACACAUGUAUUACGGUUUCCAGUUAAUACAAUUAUAGCAUGAACAAUAGACAAUUAUCAUGAACAAGGAAAUACAAUAAUAACCAUUUUAUUAUUGCCUCUAGGGCAUAUUUCCAACACGUUACCCGAAAGGGAUUGACAACCCCUUUAACACGUCGGGUUGCGAGGAUUUGUUAUUUGUGUGUAGGGGCUGUUUACGUUGUGUUGCUUGGUUCUCCUACUGGUUCGAUAACCUUGGUUUCAUAUCUGAUGGAAAUACCUACCGCUGUUGUGCUUCAUCAUCCAUUCCUCUUUGGGGAAAUACCGACGUAGCUUCAAGCCGCAUCAGUUUUGUGUUUUAAUUAGUGUUUGUGCCAAGUAAGACCUAUGGGAUAGCCUACGGUGAUAGUUGAUUUGAUCUUGCUGGAAAAAAAAACUUUUGCGCUCAGCCCCAAAAUUGUUUAAAAUCACAAAAGCGUGAUAAAAUACUGAUUCUUUUUUAAUAAGAUUAAUAAACAAAUUAUCUAGGAUUUCCUAUUUUCUCAGGAUUUUUGGAGUUGCAGAAGUAUUCGAAAUAUUCAGAUUACUACAGACUGUUCUGUUUUUGACAGAUUCUGUUUUUCGCGUGUUGUUUGCUUAUUUUGAUGCAUCUAUGGCUAGCAUCGGGGGGUUUGAACCAUGGAAAAGUUGGAAUACAGUAGAUAUUACACCAAUAUAAAUAAAGAAUGAGUUCACAACAGUACCAAAAGCGAUGAUUUAUUUUCUUAUACUAACGGAGCUUACGAGAUUUUCUGUUGGAGUUUUGUGUUGUGAAGUUUUCAAGUUUUGGGUAAGGAUUUGAUGGAAUAUGGAAUGAGGAGUGGAAAGAGCCUAAGCUUGGGGAUGCCCAAGGCACCCCAAGGUAAUAUUCAAGGAUGUCAAAAAGCCUUUUGAGGCACCCCAAGCCCAAGGCAUCCCCUCUUUCGUCUUCGUCUAUCGGUAACUUUACUUGAGGCUAUAUUUUUAUUCACCACAUGAUAUGUGUUUUGCUUGGAACGUCUUGUAUGAUUUGAGUCUUUGCUUUUUAGUUUGCCACAAUCAUCCUUGCUGUACACACCUUUUGAGAGAGACACGCAUGAAUCGUGAUUUAUUAGAAUGCUCUAUGUGCUUCACUUAUAUCUUUUGAGCUAGGCAAUUUUGCUCUAGUGCUUCACUUAUAUCUUUUUAGAGCACGGCAGUGAUUUUAUUUUAUAGAAAUUGAUGAACUCUCGUACUUCACUUAUAUUAUUUCGUGAGUCUUUAGAACAACAUGGUAAUUUGCUUUGGUUAUAAAAUUAGUCCUAAUAUGAUAGGCAUCCAAGAGGGAUAUAAUAAAAACUUUCAUAUAAAGUGCAUUGAAUACUAUGAGAAGUUUGAUUCCUUAUGAUUGGUUUGAGAUAUGAAGAUGGUGAUAUUAGAGUCAUGCUAGUAAGUAGUUGUGAAUUUGAGAAAUACUUGUGUUAAAGUUUGUGAGUCCCGUAGCAUGCACGUAUGGUGAACCGUUAUGUGAUGAAGUCGGAGCAUGAUUUAUUUUUUGAUUGCCUUCCUUAUGAGUGGCGGUCGGGGACGAGCGACGGUAUUUUCCUACCAAUCUACCCCCUAGGAGCAUGCGUGUAGUACUUUGUUUCGAUGACUAAUAGAUUUUUGCAAUAAGUAUGUGAGUUCUUUAUGACUAAUGUUGAGUCCAUGGAUUAUACGCACUCUCACCUUUCCGCCAUUGCUAGAUUCUCUAGUACCGCGCAACUUUCGCCGGUACCAUUAAACCACCACAUAUCCUUCCUCAAAACAGCCACCAUACCUACCUAUUAUGGCAUUUCCAUAGCCAUUCCGAGAUAUAUUGCCAUGCAACUUUCCACCGUUCCGUUUAUUAUGACACGCUCCAUCAUUGUCAUAUUACUUUGCAUGAUCAUGUAGUUUACAUCGUAUUUGUGGCAAAGCCACCGUUCAUCAUUUUUUAUACAUGUCGCUCUUGAUUCAUUGCACAUCCCGGUACACCGCCAGAGGCAUUCACAUAGAGUCAUAUUUUGUUCUAAGUAUCGAGUUCUAAUUCUUGAGUUGUAAGUAAAUAAAAGUGUGAUGAUCUUCAUUAUUAGAGCAUUGUCCCAUGUGAGGAAAGGAUGAUGGAGACUAUGAUUCCCCCACAAGUCGGGAUGAGACUCUGGACGAAAAAAAAGAGGCCAAAAAAAUGAGAGAAGGCCCAAAUAAAAAAAUGAGAGAAAAAGAGAGAAGGGACAAUGUUACUAUCCUUUUUGUCACACUUGUGCUUCAAAAUAGCACCAUGAUCUUCAUGAUAGAGAGUCUCCUAUGAUAUCACUUUCAUAUACUAGUGGGAAUUUUUCAUUAUAGAACUUGGAUUGUAUAUUCCAAUGAUGGACUUCCUCAAAUUGCCCUUGGUCUUCUUGAGCAAGCGAGUUGGGUGCACACCCACUUAGUUUCUUUUCUGAGCUUUCAUAAACUUAUAGCUCUAGUGCAUCCGUUGCAUGGCAAUCCCUACUCACUCACAUUGAUAUCUAUUAACGGGCAUCUCCAUAGCCCGUUGAUACGCCUAGUUGAUGUGAGACUAUCUCCUUCUUUUUGUCUUCUCCACAACCACCGUCUAUUCCACCUAUAGUGCUAUGUCCAUGGCUCACGCUCAUGUAUUGCGUGAAAGUUGAAAAAGUUUGAGAACGUCAAAAGUAUGCAACAAUUGCUUGGCCUGUCAUCGGGGUUGUGAAAGAUUUAAAUAUUUUGUGUGAUUAAGAUGGAGCUUAGCCAGACUAUAUGAUUUUGUAGGGAUAAGCUUUCUUUGCCAUGUUAUUUUGAGAAGACAUAAUUAUUUUGUUAGUAUGCUUGAAGUAUUAUUGUUUUUAUGUCAAUAUUAAACUUUUGUUUUGAAUCUUACGGAUCUGAACAUUCAUGCCACAAUAAAGAGAAUUACAUGGAUAAAUAUGUUAGGUAGCAUUCUGCAUCAAAAAUUCUGUUUUUAUCAUUUACCUACUCGAGGACGAGCAGGAAUUAAGCUUGGGGAUGCUUGAUAUGUCUCCAACGUAUCUAUAAUUUUUGAUUGUUCCAUGCUAUUAUAUUAUCUGUUUUGGAUGUUUUAUAUGCAUUAACAUGAUAUUUUAUAUGAUUUUUGGGACUAACCUAUUAACCUAGAGCCCAGUGUCAGUUUCUGUUUUUUCCUUGUUUUAGAGUUUCGUAGAAAAGGAAUACCAAAUGGAAUAAAACUUUCGCGUUGAUCUUUCUUGGACCAGAAGACACCCAGGAGACUUGGAGUGCAAGUCAGAAGAGCCACGAGGCGGCCACAAGGGUGGAGGGCGCGCCCAGGGGGGUAGGGCGCCCCCCCCCCCGACCUUGUGGGCCCCUCGUAGACACCCUGACCUAGAUCUUCCUCCUAUAUAUACUCUUAUACCCCAAAAACAUCCAAGGGAGCCACGAACCACUUUUCCACCGCCGCAACCUUCUAUACCCGUGAGAUCCCAUCUUGGGGCCUUUUCCGGCAUCCUGCCGGAGGGGGAUUCAACCACGGAGGGCUUCUACAUCAACACCAUUUCCUCUCCGAUGAAGCGUGAGUAGUUUACUUCAGACCUACGGGUCCAUAGCUAGUAGCUAGAUGGCUUCUUCUCUCUCUUUGAUUCUCAAUACAAAGUUCUCCUCGAUGUUCUUGGAGAUCUAUUCGAUGUAAUACUCUUUUGUGGUGUGUUUGCCGAGAUCCGAUGAAUUGUGGAUUUAUGAUCAGCUUAUCUAUGAAUAUUAUUUGAAUCUCCUCUGAAUUCUUAUAUGCAUGAUUUGAUAUCUUUGCAAGUCUCUUCGAACUAUCGAUUUGGUUUGGCCAACUAGAUUGGUAUUUCUUGCAAUGGGAGAAGUGCUUAGGUUUGGGUUCAAUCUUGCGGUGUCCUUUCCCAGUGACAGCAGGGGAAGCAAGGCACGUAUUGUAUUGUUGCCAUCAAGGAUAAAAAUAUGGGGUUUUCAUCAUAUUGCUUGAGUUAAUUCCUCUACAUCAUGUCAUCUUGCUUAAAGCGUUACUCCGUUAUUUAUGAACUUAAUACUCUAGAUGCAUGCUGGAUAGCGAUCGAUGUGUGGAGUAAUAGUAGUAGAUGCAUAAUCGUUUCGGUCUACUUGACACAGACGUGAUGCCUAUAUUCAUGAUCAUUGCCUUAGAUAUCGUCAGAACUUUGCACUUUUCUAUCAAUUGCUCGGCAGUAAUUUGUUCACCCAUCAUAAUAAUUUCUAUCUUGAGAGAAGCCUCUAGUGAAAUCUAUGGCCCGGGUCUAUUUUCCAUCAUAUUAGUUUUCCAUCAACUUGCCAAUUUCUGUCGCCGUUUCCUUAUUUUGCAAUCUUUACUUUCCGUUCCAUAAAUCAAAAAUACCGAAAAUAUUACUUUACCGUUUAUCCAUCUCUAUCAGAUCUCACUUUGUGAAUAACUGUGAAGGGAUUGACAACCCCUUUGUCACGUUGGUUGCAAGUUGGUGUUUGUUUGUGCAGGUAUUUAGUGGCUUGUUGCGUUGUCUCCUACUGGAUUGAUACCUUGGUUCUCAAAACUGAGGGAAAUACUUACGCUACUUUGCUGCAUCACCCUUUCCUCUUCAAGGGAAAAUCAACGAAAGCUCAAGAGGUAGCAGGGCUGCAGCAGCACCAAACGACCACCUGUAGCCACACCCACAUCCACCUGAUGUGCAAGGGAAGGAAUCCAUGUUGCCGCCGGCGCCACGCAUACUUUGCCUGGCAGCGCCCAAGGGCGGCGGCGAGGGGAGGAUGAAGAAGGUGGGGCGGAGUGCCGUUGUAUUUGGGAGCGCCCCGAGUCACUCGGGAGCAACACAGGAAUGAUGGGAUACGACAAGACUCAUAUCUAUUAUAAGUUUCACACGCGAGUUACAUAAUUGAGAGGCAUAACCGCAUAAUAUAGCAAUAUCCAAAAAUAGAGUUGCUACUGAUUUGAACUUUGAAAGACAACAAAGAAUGUCCAGAAAGCCUAACAUAGUACAAAAUAAGAACCUUAGUCCUAGAAAUUUCCAAAAUGCUAUAUCGGGCACCAAUAGAAUAUGAUGUAAAAUAUGAACUAGAGUAAAUUGUGCAAAAUAUCAUUACAUAGCCCAAAAAAAGACCAUCCAUUUGGUGUAUUCAAAUGCCUAGUAUUAAUUGGUUGUUGCAGAAGAUGGACCAACACCAUAUUCAUUGACAUCUCCACUAAAAGGAGCAUCGUAUGAACUACCAGUCAAUUCAACAUCAACAUUGCCACGAUCUUGUUCAUUUGAUUACUAAUGAUAGUAUCAUCUUUCCCAGAGAUCAUCUACCCUUCACAUGAGAUGAGACCUAUGAGUUUUCCCAAAUGUUCUCUAAUCAUUGCCAUUUGACCUUCCCGUAACAUGGUUCCAUGAUAAAUUAUUAUUAUUUAAACAAAAGGCGGAUGCCCAAGUUUAUAGAUAAAGCCAAAAGGCACUAGAACCAGAGUCACAACCAAAGUCAAACAACCACAUUGCCAAAGAACAUAACCCACACAGUUUAAGGCUGCCACAGUAGCAAUACAGUUCAGAACAACACACAAUCCACUACCUACGAGCAAAAGAACCUAACGCAUGAAUUGGGAGAGCACCGACGCGUCCCUGGGGCACCAUAGCUUAAUCCGUGUGGCAAAUAGAUAUAGCCAAAGCCCUUACACAGGAGAUCAGCAACUCGGUGGCCUCCAUGCCGUAAUCCUUAAUCAGUGAUUUCCACGGCUAUAACAAGGAGACAAGUUUGAACAAAGGAUUAGCAGGUUUGUUAGGAAGACAUGCUCAAUAGUAAAUUCCGUCCUGGUAGUUCGAAGCACCCAAUAAACAGCCAAUAAACCAAACCAGAAGAUGUGUCUAAUUUGACCAGAGAGGUUGUCGGCCAAGUUUCUAAGUCACAAGAGAACUAGGGGUCGACUGAACCCCCAUCAUCGAUCGGAUGUAGCACCAAAACAUGACCGCAGGUCACAUUUGAAGAUAACAUGGUCCGUGUCCUCAAUGUGACCACAAAGAGCACAAAGAUCAGAGCCUGGACUAUUCCUUUUUUGAAAUUUGGUUAGCCGCAUCUCUCAUGGCUUGCCACAUAAAGAUUUUGACUUUAAAAGGAAUCCUAGCUCUUCAAAUAUCGGCCACUGCACCCUUAAUCAAUUUAGAAUAGAGAGACUUAACAGAAAGCUUCCCAGACGAGAAUGAGCCCAGGUCUCACCAAGUCCCUAGACUCUGAGAGUGAGGGGAAGGCAGCUGCAAGGCGCUGCCAGUCAUCCAACUCUCCAGGAGACAGAGCUCGAUAGAAACCCAGGUCCCAAUUAUAAUUCAAUACCGCUUAUUUGGACAUUUUCCAUUUGACACUGGAGGAAAUAAUCUGAUAGGAAUACCUUCUAAGCAUUAUAGAAAAGUUUUUUAUUAGAUCUCAAGAAUAAUUCAUUCAUGAAGGGAGUCAUAUCAGUUGGAAUGUAACAUCAUAUAGCAAGCCACUUAGUGUAAACAGUCUAGAACAUCACCUCUAAUCGAAUAAGUUAAACAUCACAUGAAAUUGAUUUUAAGGAAAGAUUGUUUCCACGAAAAAAGGAUAACCGCUAUAUUUGCAGUCCCCGACAGAUAUUCUGUACCAAAGAGUGUCAACAUAUGGGGUCUGUUCAGGAUGACAUAGAGGAUUUUACGAUAGCAGCAGAUUCAUAGAAACAUCACCACAUUAGCUCACAUCCUCGCGAAUACACAAGUUGCGUAUCUUUCCAUUGAUAGAAGAAGAGUUACAGCAAGCGAUUACAAACACGUGCAAGUCAUGUGCACUAAAGGCAUGAUCGUGGGUGUUGGAGCUAACAAAACAAGGGGUUGCUCAUCCCCAAAAACACAAAAGGCUAACUCUCAGGUAUGAUGUUGCUUAUCCCAGCGGCGCCGGCCUUGGCCUAGAGGCGCGCCUCGUCUUUGAUGGCAGUGGUGAGUUGGGAGAAGGAUGGCCGAUCGUGGUCGAAGACACAUCCGUUGCGGUGUUUUCAAAUCCACCCAGCAGUGAGGAUGAUGAUGGACGCGAGGCCUUUGCGAGCGGAGGUUGACGCUUGUUCGGUUGAGGUCGCCCACCAAGUUUGGAAGGGGGUGUCGCCAUCAGGAAGGCUAGUAGGUGCUCUCACCCAGCCGCGAACCUCAUGCCAGAUUUGCCUAAAAAAGGAGAAGCCCGCUAGGAGGUGUUGCAUGGUCUCGGGCUCUUGGUCGCAUAGGGCACACAUGUCGUUGUCGGAGAGGUAGUGUCGGGCUAGACGCUCCGCCGUCCAGCAGCGCUCCUGCAUCGCAAGCCACAUGAAGAACUUGAUGCGAAGAGGUGCCCAUGGCUUCCACGUGAGCUUCCACUAGGGGUCUCCGCAUGACCCGUUGAAUAGGGCCUGGUAGCAUGAGCUGGCAGAAUAGAGGCUGGAGGCCAUCCAUCUCCAACUGAGGGUGUCGGGAGUGGCCAAGAGCUCAACAUGCCAGACUUGUCGCCAUAGGUCGACGUACUGGAGCAAGGCCGCGGGGCCCAGUGCUCCCCUGAUGUCUUGCACCCAAGACCUGAGGUGUAGGGCCUCACUGACGGUGCGAGAUUUUUGUUGGCGGCGAGGGACUAGCGAGUGCACAAGGGGGGCAAUCUCUGCCACAGAUCUUCCAUCUAUCAAGUGGUCGCUCCAGAAUUUGCAGCUGGCCCCGUUGCCAAGUUGCCAGGUGGUGGACGCCCUGAAGAUGGCGGUGACGUCGGUAUCAUGUGGGAUAUGCAGGUGGCUCUAAGAUCUCGAGGGGUCCGUGCGUUGUAGCCAAAGCUAGCGCGUACGCAGAGCGAUUCCGACACGGUAUAGAUCGCAGAUGCCCAGCCCACCAAGGGAGAUGGGCCUGCAGACUUUCUGCCAGUUGACGAGGCAUUUCUUGCCGCUCGCGUCUUUGCUUCCGGCCCAAAGGAAGCCUCGGAUGAUCGGAUUGACCCGCUUGAGGAUCGAUUUGUUGAAUGCAAUGGCGAUGAGGAAGUGUGUCGGGAUCGCACAGAGGACGUGGCGGACCAAGGCAAGCCGAUCACCCUUCAAAAGAAGUGAAGCACACCAAGUGGAAAGCUUCUUCUCGAGCUUGUGGACGAUCGGAAGAAGGCUCGAGGUGGGCGGCUUGCGGAUAGAGAGCGGUAGCCCAAGGUACUGGAUAGGGAAAUGCUUGACCGGGCAUUGCAUCUCGGACUUGAUCGUGUCAAUGUGGUCAUCGCUGCACCGGAUUGGCGUUGCGGAGCAUUUGUCAAAGUUGGUGCGGAGCCCCGAGGCCACCCCAAACACCCGAAGAAGCUCGCGCACGGUGGCAAUGUCGUGGCUGUCGAGGUGGCAGAAAAUAACGACGUCGUCUGCGUAGAGGGAAAUGCUCGAGGCCGCGUGACGUGUCGUGAGCCGCUGGAGGAGGCUGUUGUCAACCGCACGGAGGAGAAGCGAGUUCAGGACGUCGAUGACGAUGGUGAACAACAUUGGGGAAAUUGGGUCUCCCUGUCGGAGGCCGCAAGCGUGGUCGAUGGGAGGCCAGGAUGGCCAUUGAUCAUGACCCGUGUGCUCAGAUCCUCAACACCAUUCAAUCAAUAACAAAGCGUAUAUCAUCCAUAUACGUGUGCAUUUUUUUCAUGAUUAAAGCAUUUUAUCUAUGAAGAGUAGUACUUUUGUAAACCAGUGUAGCUAAUGAUCAUAUGUAGUCUGGCAAUAUAGUUUGUAAUUUUCAUGAAACCACAUGUCUCAUGCUAAUUCGGCAUAAAAAAUACCACAUAAAACAAACAUUUAUGUUUUGUAUACGAGGAUCGGGCCGACGUGGUCAUGGUGGCCACCGCGGCGGUAGAGGAGGCAGGGCAGCGACGACAACAACGAACGUAGGUAGGAAGCUGAAGAGGUUGCCAAGCCAAAAUAGCUUCGUCACCACCUCCGAGAAGCUGCGCACGCCCAAGUAAGUUUCUCUCCACUCCAGUUUACCCAUCCCUCAGCUCCGCUCCUUUCUGCAAGCUCACGCAUGUAUCUCAGUUGUUCUUCAUAACACAAGCUUCCAAAAUAAUCUUGUCAAAACAUGAGCCUAGCUUUGUAAUUGGAAGCAAAACCAAGCUGAUUAAUGGGUAGUUAAUCACCCUGUUCCAUGAUCGAUCUAGCUUGUACUACAUGCAUCGUAACUCAUUGUUUGCAUGAUCAUUAGAUCGACCACUGGUCAUGGAUGAAAAAGAGAGAUGAUGGGCGAUAUCUAUGGAGAGAUUCAUUCAUCUGCGAUAGAGACAAUAGCAUGUACAAGUGGGGCAUUGGACAAUGAACAUUAAUGAGAUCAUGAGCUGCAAUGUCUUUUUGGUCACAAAGGCAUGUGAGGGUUUGUUUCUUCCAUUACAACACAUGUACACAUUUGCUAGUAAUACUAAUACCACGGCAGACCGUGUAGUCACACAAGUACACUAUUGUGUGUGUGUGUGAUUUCAUCGCAUUGUUGCAAGUUUAUUGAUUGUUGUAGCUAAUCUAAUACAAGUUCAAUUAAGUUUCAUAGUCACGCACGAUCAUUAUGCCAGUAAUAAGAUUAGGCUUCAAUGAUCGUUUCAUCCAUCUGGUGAUGAAGUGUGUAACCUCUGUAAGGUUCACGAUAAAAGUUAAUGGUGAUCUUCUAUUGUACUUUACUCCAUCAGAGGUCUCCAACAAGGGGAUCCGAUCGAUGUCACCAUGUUUGUUCCUCUUGUGUGCCCAGGGCCUCACUUCUUUGCUAAAUAAUUACCAUGGUGCACACAUUGAUAGAGGCAUCCAGGUAUUAUUCAUGCACCUUGGGUUAAUCAUCUCCUUGCUAACGAUAGUUUGAUCUUACUCAGUGCUAAGAGACUCAAUGAUAUUGAUCUAUGCUGAUUGUUCUGGUCAAGAAGUGAACCGAGAGAAGAGCUCAAUUAUUUCAGUGGCAAUACCGUGCAGCCCCUUCGUGAGUCCUUGAAGCAAACUCUUGGUAUUUUAGUGGAAGCGUUCGCUGAAUGUUAUUUGGGUCUCCCGACAGCUAUUGGCAGAAUUACAAGUGGUACUUUCAUGCAUAUUAACGAGAGAAGCAAAAGCAAAAUGCAGGGAUGGUCUGAGAGGACUCUAGCGUGCGCGGCUGGCUAGGGCAGGCUAUUCCAACGUACAUACAACAUGAGUUGCUUCCUAGCUUCCUUCUAGGGGUGUCUGUUCCUUUUACGGCCGAGCUCCUGCCUUCCGGGAGGGGGUGAUCUUUGCCCAACAUGUGAUCUUGAAGGUUGACUCCAUGAAAUUGGUCAACCUAUGGAACUUGUGUAGCAACUCUUACUCUAUUGCUGCGCCUAUCUUGAAAGAAUUAGAAGGGAUUGUCCCAAAUUUCGCUUCUUUUUCGGUUACUCAUGUCAAAAGGAAUUUGAACGAUCACGCGCAUACAUGUGUUCAGCGUGCUAGUACACUAUAUGGGACAGAUAGUUGGCUUGAUCAAAGCCCUGAGUUUUUUGUUAGAGCAUCUCUAGCAGACCCCGCAUAAGUGGUCAAACCCGCAAAAAAUUUACGUUUUACAGUUUUGGGAAAAAAAAGUUGCCAGAACAGAAACCGUAAAAGUAGUCCAACCCAUAAAAUUUUUAAGGGCCACUGCAAAUGCACACCCGAAAUCCUUAUCUUUGGAGGUUGGAAGGCCGAACAUAGGGGGGCCCGUAUACCGGUCAAACCUCGUCGGAGCAAACACGCCGCCGCGGAGUUUGCCGGAAUCCGCCCUAAACUCGCCGGAAUUCAUCACCGCACAUCGGAAAAGGCCGCUAGACGUCGCAGUCGAUCGCCGCCGGUUAGAAUUGGACGAGCUCGACAUCGUCGUGGCCUCCCAUGACCUCAGCCUGGCCGCCCGAAUCCUCCCGACGCGGCUGGCAAAGGGGCACGACUCGGCUGGCAAUAGAGCAAGGCGCGGACGACGGAGGCAACGGGGCGUGGCCGGCAAGCUGUGCGCGGACGACGGAGGCGACGGAGCGUGGCCGGCGAGGCUGGGCGCGGCCGGCGUGGUGAUGGGGCGCNNNNNNNNNNNNNNNNNNNNNNNNNNNNNNNNNNNNNNNNNNNNNNNNNNNNNNNNNNNNNNNNNNNNNNNNNNNNNNNNNNNNNNNNNNNNNNNNNNNNNNNNNNNNNNNNNNNNNNNNNNNNNNNNNNNNNNNNNNNNNNNNNNNNNNNNNNNNNNNNNNNNNNNNNNNNNNNNNNNNNNNNNNNNNNNNNNNNNNNNNNNNNNNNNNNNNNNNNNNNNNNNNNNNNNNNNNNNNNNNNNNNNNNNNNNNNNNNNNNNNNNNNNNNNNNNNNNNNNNNNNNNNNNNNNNNNNNNNNNNNNNNNNNNNNNNNNNNNNNNNNNNNNNNNNNNNNNNNNNNNNNNNNNNNNNNNNNNNNNNNNNNNNNNNNNNNNNNNNNNNNNNNNNNNNNNNNNNNNNNNNNNNNNNNNNNNNNNNNNNNNNNNNNNNNNNNNNNNNNNNNNNNNNNNNNNNNNNNNNNNNNNNNNNNNNNNNNNNCGUUUGGGGGUCUGUAUCUGUGCCAGCCCGAGCCAGCCCGCAAAAGCGGUUUUACGCGAACUGCAAACGCGUUUUGCGGGCCGGUGGAUGCGGGGUCGGCUAGAGUUGCUCUUAGUUGCCUUCCGGCGGAUUUCAUCCGGAUUCUAGUUAAUCAAUAAAGCUCUCUAGUUCGUUGCAAGAAAAAAAAAACGGAGAAAAUACGAAACGUUGGCGCCACGACGACCUCGGCCACCUAGAACGGCCACUCGGCUCCGGAGGUGCCACCGGCCUGACAAAAGCGUAACCGUAGGCUGCCAAGUCGUCACCCCUCUACGCGUCCCAACCUGCGCCACUCCUCUUCGCGGCCAAGUGACCAGCUCGCUCACCCACCACUAAAAUUCCACGCUGCAGGGAAGCUGCCCUUUUCUUUUCUUUGAGAACACAAGAGCAGCUUCUCGUGCUCGUCUCUGACCUCUUGCCGGUCGGCGCCCAAUUGAAAAUUUCUUUUCUUUUUGCUCUCCUCGAUCGAUUGACUGCCUCACGGACGGUGCCCAUGGCCAUGGCAUCGCCGUCGUGGUCAUCUUGCUGCGCCUCCACCUCCACCCGUCCUCUGCCUAGCCCCCCCGCGAGCAGCAAGAGCAGGAACCCAUGGCGGGCAAGCAGCGGCAGGAGGAGCGCCAGCGGAGGGAAGAGACGGCAGCAGCUGUCCAUCCGCGCGGUGGCCGCACCGUCGUCGGCGGUGGACUACUCGGACACCGCCGCCGGCGCCGGCGACGUCCCCUCGCUGAAAAUCAAGCUGCUGGUGAGUGGCCCAUAAGAAUAUUCCAGCAUCUGACCGGGCAUUUCGUAGCCGCUCGCUCGCUCGCUCGCUUGACGGACCCUCGCAUGAUUCGUGGACGCAGAGCGCGGUCGCCGGGCUGAACCGGGGCCUCGCGGCGAGCCAGGAGGACCUGGACCGGGCGGACGCGGCGGCGAGGCAGCUCGAGGCGGCGGCACCGGCCCCCGUGGACCUCGCCAAGGACCUCGACAAGCUGCAGGGGCGGUGGAGGCUGGUCUACAGCAGCGCCUUCUCGUCGCGGACGCUCGGCGGCAGCCGCCCCGGCCCGCCCACCGGCCGCCUCCUCCCCAUCACCCUCGGCCAGGUCAGGACCCGACACCGAAUCCUGAGCCCAACUGAACCGCACCGAAAAUGGUUUCAGAAAUGUGACGCGGAAGCGGAACUCCAUUCCCAACUGUGCUUGUGCUCGUCAGGUGUUCCAGAGGAUCGACGUGGUCAGCCAGGACUUCGACAACAUCGUGGAGCUCGAGCUCGGCGCGCCGUGGCCGCUGCCGCCGGUCGAGGCCACGGCCACGCUGGCGCACAAGUUUGAGAUCACCGGUGAGACGCCUCUCGAUUCUGCACGCUUUUUUUUAGCUUGAUUGAUGGGUGUUUCCUGAAUUCUGAUGGCUGCCACUGCCAGGAAUCGCGAGUAUCAAGAUCAAUUUCGACAAGACGACGGUGAAGACCAAAGGGAACCUGUCCCAGCUGCCUCUGCUGGAGGUGCCCCGCAUCCCGGAUAGCCUCCGGCCUUCGACGUCCAACACCGGGAGCGGCGAGUUCGACGUGACCUACCUCGACGACGACACCCGCAUCACCCGAGGGGACAGGGGGGAGCUCAGGGUGUUCGUCGUCUCAUGAGCUGAUAUUUUUUUUGUUGAUGUUGCUGCUGCUUUCUCUCUCUGUGUACUGCUUCAACCUUUUUGCCCCUAAACAGAAGUCUUGUACUAGUUCUAUGUCUAUUUUUGCCGGAGUAGUAUCGUGAUAGAGGCUAAUGUGCGUUCUUCACUUAUGGGAUUAACUUUUUCUCUCUAGCAGAUUAUUACGUUCGGUUAUUUCGUUUUGAUUUUAUUAUGUUGGCUUAAGUUUUAAUUAUGUGCUAGCGAUGUUUUUUUCAUGUUAAGACUAUGGAAUUGCUACUCUAAUGCUCAAAUGGGCAAAACAAUGAAGUUCUCGCACGCUUAGGUUCUAUUUAUGCUUGCUCCACUUCUAGCUUAGAAAAUCUGCUAUCGUGUUUUUAUUUGAAAAAGUUAUAUAUCGCUAAUUUAAAAAAUCUUGGAUUUUACUAAAUGUUGCGAAUUGAAAAACAAUAAUUUACAAAAAUGUUCAUGGAUUUGGAAAAAGUUUACAAACAUUAAAAAAUCAUAGACUUAAAAAAUGCUCGUGAAAUUCAAAUUCAGGAAUUUAAAAAUAUGUGUGGAUUUUAGAAAAUGAUCAUGUUUUUAAAAAUGUUUGUGAAUUUUAAUAAAUAUUCAAAAACAUAAUAAUAAUCAUAAUUUAUUUAAACCAUUUAAAAAUAAAAUAGCAAGAACAAAAACCAGGCAAUGCCUUCUCAAAACCAGAAAAUUCGGCCGAUCCAUAAGGCUAGGUGUGUGUUACCCUCAACCGGAAACAUACACCCUUACAAUCGGGUCUCAUAGGAACCCCCAAAGCCUCAGACGCUUCAAAUCUAGGAAGUUGUUUCUUGUUGGUCUUCUAACCCAACCUGUGGUUGCUAAAGUAACAAAAGCAAGGUUGCUAUUCUUCCUACCUACGAUUAUUCUCAUAUCCUAACCAGCAAAAAAACGAAUAUAUAUGUAAGUAUGUUUCUUACAGAUCUGAACAAAGAGUUAAAAUCGUUGAAAAUGAAUAUAUAUAUAGACACGCACACACGUCAUAUACAAGUGUGGAACAUUAACACAUUGAAAAGCUAAUGCCUUCAAUUGCAAUUUCACUCAACAAUGUUAGCACUAUGUGGGCAUCUCCUGAAUUUCACAGCCUUAUUUUUUUCCGGUCUACGGCUAAAAGUUUAUGCAUGCAUUGUGUGGAUAAUUUGGAAGCAAGACUAUGUGGAUAAUUUGGAAAAUUCACGAAUGGAUUUAACUUUGAGGGCAAGGAACGUCUAUGACUCACGUUCCAAGGUGUGAAGUGGGUUAGAGGGGAUGUGGUGAUUAAGGUUUUGAUGACUAAUGUUGUUUAAGGAGGUCCCGCAACUUCUCUCAUCGCCUAAUACAUAAGAGCAUCUACAAUUGUACCCCUCAAACCCCCCUCCCCCUCCCUAAUACGUCCUGGCGGACGACCCGGCCACUGUCGGUGACAAAAUUGCCGCCCAACCGGACGUCUUAAACCGGCAAUAUAAGACUGGGCUAUCCGACACCCCUCCAACCCAUAUCUGGGGCGGAUUGGAUACGGGGAUGCUCGGGUGUGUCCGCCACAUCGUACUGACGGGGGGGGGGGGGUGUCUAUCCCAAAUCUCUUCAAGUCACCAGAAUGAUUUGUUAAGUUUAUGAGCAUCCAGAAUGAAUAGUAUCCUUCAUAAAUAACACUUCUGCAAAAUUCAUAAAUUCGUACUGACGGGAGGGGUACAACGAAGAGUGUGUGAACAACUUCCCUUCUCUCCUCUGCAAAAUUGCACAACUGCUCUUAGGAUGCUCGCUUAUGGUAAAGCCGCAAAUACCAUCGAUGCUGAAAUCCGGAUGGGAGAGACAACAUGUCUGCGGAAGGUGUUUGUAUCAGAGAGCAUCAAGUGAAUUCCCAGGUAUGCUUUGUUAAGUCGAUUGCAUGACCGAUCGAAAGGUUUACACGGGUAGUAUUAAGGUUAUAUCAAAGAGAUCGAUGUCAUACUUAAAGUAGUGGCAUUGAAGGACUUGUGAAUUUGACAUGUUCUCUUUGGCACGCUUGGCUCUAACAAUGAUCAAUGUGCUUCAGCAAUCUCCUUUAUUCAAGUGACUUCGUGAUGGAGAUGCUAUUACGUGCAACUACACCGUCAACGGGUACAACUAUAAAAUAUGGUACUACCUUGCCAAUAGCAUAGAAAUAUCCAGCCUUGAUGUAACAAACAAUGUCUCUCUUCACAAAUUCAAGAUGGUAUGAUGUGGAAAGGGUAUUCGAAGUGCUUCAAAGUCGUUUGUUUCAUGUACCUACAACAAUGUGAAAACUAACACUUUGUGAGUUGAUGUUGUGUAAAUCUUGAACACCAUGAUUAUGGAGAAUGAAGGACGAAGGCAACCCUAUGCAUGAUUUAGAGAAGCCCCAAGUUCAUGCAACUAAAUGAUCCUAUGCAACACAAUGUGAAUCUAUGCGAAUAUUAUGUUUCAACUAUGAUUUUUGUGUGUGUAUAAAUACAUUUUAUGCUUGAACCAUAUAUUUGUAUGUGCAAUUUCCCUCUUUUUUUGUAAGGAAUAUCGUAAUUAUAUAGGACUCCAAUAACGUCCACACGUGUGGCAUACUAGACAAUACUGUAUGUAGCGUGAGUAGAAGGCAGCCCACACAGACUAUAUGUGGGCGAACAUUAGAAGUGUCCACACGUGCGCAACUACUUUGUGCCAUCUCCACCCCGCGCGUGUGGCACGAAGCAAAAAUGUCCACACGUCCUGCCGCAACUACAUUAGGUACCCCGUGGGAUGACGGUUUAGUUGCCAUCCGGAAUGACAGAUGUAGUUAUUCGGGAUGGCAAAUAUAGUUGUAAAAACAUGGCAAUUCUAUCUGUUUUGGUUAACUAUAGUUGCCAUGCCUAAUUUAUGGUAGUUACCGCGUGUAAUCAAACCAUAGUUGCCAUGUGUUAUUAACUACUUGCUAUAUAGGGUCAAACAGUAGUUGCCACGCGUGUUUAUCUAGUUGUCACGUAUGGUACAACCAUAGCUGCCGUGUAUGGUUAAUCACAAUUGCCAUGUGUGUUUAUCCUAGUUGCCACGUACACGUAAUGUAUGGUUACCAUCUAACAACAUACGCAUGGACUAGGUGAUGGCUGAGUGGGCAAAACUAGUUGCGCUGGCAAAUCACGGGCGAACUCUGCAGCUCAACUGGACGGUGGUCCAUGCGUGUGGAUGAGUUGCAAAACUGCCACACGCGUUAGUAUUUUCGAUUAAUACACAUGAACAAAGAGGAAGCUGAACCAACCAGCGGAGCGUCUCAGAUUCUAUAGAUUUGCACAUACACAUGGUUUACGCUGGAGUAAAGCAGGGCACAAAUGCAUCAAUGCAUCCACCAUUAAUAAUCCAAAUAACGCAAGUAUUUUGACGAAAAUUAAGGGCAGCACUUCAGCUGCAAGUUUACUGAAUUGCAUCACGACAGAAAGUCUGGCAACAAUCAUAUCAAGUUCAUGAUGUUCGAGGUAAAAAUCUAUCACACCAUAAAAGAGAGUUCUAUUUCAAGGUUUAUCCAAUAACAUGGAAACUCUAAACAUCCUCUCCUCCUGCAUUAAAGCAGCUGAUGACUUCCACACCAUCUGAAUUACUCGUGGAGGGUGCCCAGAAUGUCGUCGUCUCUGUAGAGGAGGUACCUGAAAAAGUUUCAGGUGCAUUAGAAAAGGCAUUUAAAACUGAGAACAUAGGAGGUAGGAGCAAUGGUAGCUGUCUUCUAAUAAAAGUUUUAAAACCCAUUGUCACCAGAAUGCCAGAUUUGCUCCAAAAAAAAACAGAAUGGCAGAUGGGUAAAAAUAGAACAUGCUUGUUGUCACCCAAAAGUUUUGACAGAAUGUUACAUCUAACAACAUAGAGCAUGUGAAAAGUGGUGUAUUAGUAGAAAGAGCUACUACCAUCUUUAGCAAUAGCAGAAGUUUCAAAUCACGCAGUUAGAUAUUAGCACUUCCGAAAUAACAAAUCUGCUAUCCAACUACAUAAUAUAAUUACCCAAGUCAAGGCAAAAUGGCUUGAUGUAGCAACAGACCGUGUGAAAGAUUUUAGUACCAACUACCUAGUGGCUGUUGCAGCAUUUGAAUGAUGAAGCAUAUCAGGUGAUACAGUUAGUGAUAUACUGCUAUUCGCAUUUCAAAAAUCACUCACAUAUUACAACUUGCAUCCCAAUAGAAUUCAUUAUCCUAAGUUGAUGGAUGGAAUAAAUGCUGACAAGGUAAUGAAAACAAUUGUUUCUACGAGUGACGGAAAUGUGCACUAUGCUGCUGAAUUAGGAUGUUGCACAUUGUUUUGCAUCACACCCAGCAAGAAAAACAUCAGAACACCAACAACUGAAGUAAUAGGAUGGUGAAAUAAGUAACAUACUCUUUCUCGGGAGCAAGCUUGACUUCAAGACCACCAUACUCAGGCAGGAGCACAUGGUCCCCUUCCUUGAGAGCAACAGGGAUCAGCUUCCCUUCCUUGUCACGGCUGCCAGGGCCAACAGCUAUCACCUUACCAGAGUUCAGCUGGAUUCACAAGAACAUUCUCAAGUCAUGAACUGAUUCAACAGUCAAAUUAUCAAAGACAACUCUGAACUAAUGACAGAACCUUUUCUCAAAGAUAAUGUGGAAUCAUUAAGUGCAGUACUAAUAAGAGUAAUCAGUCAAGAACCGCUCAGUUAAGGGCACUACUAAUAGGACUGAUCAGUCAUGAACCGGUCAGUUAACUGCACUACUAAUAGGAGUGAUUGGACAUGAACUGACCGGUCUAAGUGGACUGAUAGAACUAUGAGGCAGAACUACAGUAAAACUAGCAAUCUAGUAGCAUGACAAAUGUGAAAAAUGUACAUUGGCCAUUGGUGGUAAAAAUAAAUUCUUUGUGGAAGCAGAACUGACGGCAUCUUCACCAAGUAAACUACAGUUGCUUAAACCAGAUAAUUCUAGCUAACAACCCCGCAAUACACAAUGCGAAUCUGAAUCAGCAAGUCUAGCCACACCGCCAUCUGAACGAAUUCCACAAUAAAACAAUUUGCAAACUACGCAGCUAGCUCUCUGCCUAACAAGUAACCAUAUCAGAAUAAUAAGCAAUCUUCAAAGGAACAGACACUCCUCCUGUUCAUAACUACUCCGUAUGAAUUAUUGAUGAACUAAUGUUCUGAAUGAUAAUGCGGGAUCAUUGAAGUGCACAACUAAUAGCACUAUGGGACAGAACUAUUGUACAACUACAGCUAGCAGUCUAGUAGCACACCAACUGCAAAAGAUACAACAUUGGUAAAAACCGAUUCUUCGUGGAAGCAGCGCAGAUGGAUGUCAACUUGGUUAAUCUAAUCCCAAUUGCUUAAAUUAGAUUAUUCCAGCUUAGCAUCUACCCACACAAAGUAAAUCUGAGGCGGCCGGCCUAGCCACACCCCCCAACUGAACUAAUAAUAACACAAUAAGAACAAUUUGCAACCUAAACGACCAUCACCCGCCCAAGAUCUAAGCAGCCCCCGCACGGGAUCCACGCACAGGAGCAAGAAGCAACAUCUACCAGCGGCGGCAGCAUCAAAGGGGGAGGAGAGAAGGGCGCGCCGUACCUGCUUGGAGGUCUCCGGGAGGAGGAUGCCGCCGGCGCUCUUCUUGGGCUGCACCACCUUCUCCACCAGCACCCGGUUGAAGGACGGGAUCAGACGCCGAAUCGCCGCCAUCGCCGCUGACGAGAUCAGACGCCGCUCUUCUCCUUCUUCUUCUUGGGAAACAAGCAAGAGAACGCGACGCUUCCACACUCUUCGCUUUUCGCCUCCCGGGGAUGGUGGGGUUUAGGGUUUUAUGAGGGGCGGCGCGGUUGCGUGCGCGGUGG
rnacentral:lncRNA from 1 species